UACGAAGGGGGCUAGCGUUGCUCGGAAUCACCGGGCGUAAAGCGCACGUAGGCGGCUUUCUAAGUCAGGGGUGAAAUCCUGGAGCUCAACUCCAGAACUGCCUUUGAUACUGGAAAGCUUGAGUUCGGGAGAGGUGAGUGGGACUGCGAGUGUAGAGGUGAAAUUCGUAGAUAUUCGCAAGAACACCAGUGGCGAAGGCGGCUCACUGGCCCGAUACUGACGCUGAGGUGCGAAAGCGUGGGGAGCAAACAGG
rnacentral:rRNA from 1 species